ACAACCAUAUCACAUUGAAACACAGGUUCUCAUAUAAACACCGAAAUUAAGCAACAUCAAGCAUGGUUGGUCAGUACUUAGAUGGGUGACCAUUUGUGAACAUCAGGUGCUGUAAG